GAUGAAGAACGUAGCGAAAUGCGAUAAGUAGUGUGAAUUGCAGAAUUCAGUGAAUCAUCGAAUCUUUGAACGAACAUUGCGCCCCUUGGUAUUCCAUGGGGCAUGCCUGUUCGAGCGUCAUUUGUACCUUCAAGCUCUGCUUGGUGUUGGGUGUUUGUCUCGCCUCUGCGUGUAGACUCGCCUCAAAACAAUUGGCAGCCGGCGUAUUGAUUUCGGAGCGCAGUACAUCUCGCGCUUUGCACUCAUAACGACGACGUCCAAAAGUACAUUUUUACACUCUUGACCUCGGAUCAGGUAGGGAUACCCGCUGAACUUAAGCAUAUCAAUAAGCGGAGGA
rnacentral:misc_RNA from 1 species